GUCUUACAGAUGAGUACUUAUUUGUCUUCGGCAGUUGUCCCUGUUUUGUGUUCUACUGCAAAUAAGGAGCUUAGUCUGAGGAUAAUUCAAUCCAGCACUGCAUCUCAGAGCUCUAGCGACAGGCGUGAAAUUGUUUUAUCUUUUUUGUUCUCGGUGCGCGGCGCUCAUUGGGUGAGCAUGCGGACCAUCUGCUGCCGAGGUAACUCUGGGGAUCCUUGUCAAAUUGAUUGUGCUCAGAAACAACUGAGACAGAGGAAAAAUAGAGUUUCUAAUUACAUUUUACCCGGGAUCUUGUUCGACUCUAGGAAGUGGUGAGUGAGAUCAUUUGCCCCUGGGGCUUUUCUUCCAUAUGCCUUCUUUUCCUCCAGCUAAAUGUGCAGCAAAUUGAAAAGCUUUCCGUACAAACAGGGAAUCAAUUCCUCAACCUACACUCUGCUGGACGUGCUCCCGUUCCACUGCAGUCCCAAUGGUUAUUGGAGCAGUAAAUGAAAUAAUGGGAAAGUUAGCUUGAAUAUGUAAAAUGGCAGCAUUGUCUGUGGACUAUAUGAAAUCAGCGGUGAUUUCUGAAGCAUAAUUUAAUGGUGAGACAAGCAGAGCAAUUGAUUUGGGGAAAAAAAGUUUAGAAGAUGAAUGUAAAAUAGGGCCAGAAGUGUGCAAAAUAGAUUCGAAGCAGAGCUUCCAAAUCCUGGUUGCUUUUGCUUUGUCUUUCACAGAACCAUAGUAUGGUUUGAGUUGGAAGUGACCCUUAAAGGCCACCUAGUCCAACUCCCCUGCAAUGAACAGGGACACCUACAGCUCCAUCAGGUGCUCAGAGCCCCAUCCAGCCUGGCCUUGAGUGUCUCCUUGAGAUGGGCAGAGCAUCCACCACAUCUCUGGACAACUUGUUACAGAUGUGUGGAACAUUUCAUGGGAUUUGAAUCUAACCCCUACUGCUGUGAUGCUCUUCUUAAUCCAUAUCCUCAGUAUUAGGAAUUAUUCCUUCCUACAAGAAAAGGGCUCAGGAUUUUAUCCACACCUGACCUCAUCCCACCAUGUCUUUGGGAUGUGUGUUCUGGCACUUCCUCCUGGGCAUCUUGCGGAAACUCAGCUUGGGGAAGUUCAGUUCUGGUUCCUCAUCUCCUCUGCUGUUCUCAUGGCUCGAAGAGGAGAACAUGCUUUUAUGUGCAUAGGUAUAUACUGGAUCUUUUCUGUUUUUGUAUUUCUGUAUAAAGUCUGCUUCCAACUUCAACAUCCAGGGCGCAAGUUACACAUUUUGCACGGAGCUACUUUGUAUGAUAACACCUCCCUCUCUGAUAUUUUGCUCUGUGACGGUUAUGAUGAGUGCUGUCUUCCAUGUUAUUAAAUGACAACAUGAACAUAUGCUGGCUUGUCACUGUAGCAAACAAUGACUUGUAGCUCUCUUGAAAAUUCACAUGCUUUUUAUUGCUCCUUGAGAAAAUAGCACACAUCACUGCUGCAGUUCUGGUCGUUUUCCUGAUUGCUGGAGGAUUUCCCCUCUAUUACCUCUGCAUUUUCUGUGUUGCCAGGUGUGAAAUGAACAGAAUCAUAAAGUCAGGCUGGUUUGGAGAAUAAAAACAGCAGCACAGCCUGCGCUGAUGGGAUAAGAGCAUACCGAGAGUGGAAAAGUGCUGGGAGCUAUUGGCAAUUCAACACAGGUGAUAUGUGGUACAGCGUAAAAGAUAUAUUUACAAAUUACUGUAAUUAGAAGAGCUUGUAAUAUAUAUUACUGACUCAGGAAAAUAUUUCAUCUUGUCCUUAAGUUAAGAUAUGUGCCAAAACCCUCCUGAGGGCAAUAGGACCGCGACGCUUACUUAAAAGCAAACUAUAUUGAUUUUAAACAUCAAUAAUUCCCUAAAAAUGACUGGGACUGAUGUGUUUGCUAGUUGCAGUAGGGGUUCUAGCAGUUAGACGACAGCGUCCUUGAUUCAGUUCCCAGUAAAACCUGUAGGAUGUUUUGAAAUGAUGCCCUUGAGUUGAAUAGCAACUGUCUCCUGAGAUGUAGCGGUGAGAAUGGGUUUUACAACUGGUUUCCAGACCUCAUGAAUUCCAGGUUUAAUGAAUUUUGAGUGCUAUUAAUGAGAACGGCCGGGCAGGUUGUAUGGGGAUUGUGAUCCAAAGAGUCAGAAGUGAUGAGGGAACAUUGAGAUGGGGAACCGUGCAGCCUCAGCCCGAGUGCAGCAGUAGGGCUGGAAAUUCCCUCGGGGCCUGAUCACAACCGUGCCAGGCACACGUGGGCUGCUUGUGAGGCCGAAAGGAUAACGACGGCCAACAGCAGCCCAGGAGGGGGAGAGCAGUGGGAGGUGCCCUCGUGCCUUAAUGACCCUGAGCAGCAGCAGCACCUGUGUGCCGGCCGCACCUGCCUGCGGGGCUCCAGUUCUGCCUGGGGCAGCUCCUCCCGCUCAGUCGUCGUGGAACUUCGGGAGGUUCGGGACCUGCGAACGGCGAGGUGAGAAAACGGAUUGGAUUGUUCAGAAUGAGGAGGAAGCUACAAACAAAUUAUUCAGACACUGUUACAAACAGCAGCAAUCACAGUAUACGGCCACCUGUAAGAAAGCCGUGGGCUGGAAGCUUGCAUAAAUUGUCUGGUACGGCAGACCAAGUACAGAAUGCAGAUCUCUGAUGUGGAGACAGUAGGUGAAGGCAGUAAGCGAGAAAGCCAUUUUAGACACGAUGGCAGACAACUCAUCGUGGCCCAAUUUGUUGAGCUGCUUUCCACUGCUGUAACUUCUUGAAGUAGUUUCCUCCGUUUUGAAAGAGGAGGCUCCUGGGUAGUGAGCUGAAGUGGCGGACCACCAGCUUCAGAGGAAGACACAUGAAAGAGGCAAGGACUUCACGUAUAGCCUGGCACCUUGUUAGGCUGCCCAUGCAUUGUCUCCCCAGAAGUAUACCUGCAACCACCUAAGAGCCCAAGCCUGUAAGAUCUGAAACCUUUUGCACAGUAUGUGGUUGGCUGAGGGACCAGAGAAGCCAGCUGUGCAGCUCAGUUCCUCUCUCUUCACAAGCAGAGUUUCCUAGUUGAGGUGCUUUCCUCCUCCUCUAUCUUCAGCUGCUCCAAAGGAUGCCUGGAACAAAACGGCCUUCAAAUGCUUCUCUCUGCUAACACUAGCAAGGGUGUUCUGCCAAUUCCUACCUCAGCUCCCCUUGAUCUGGGUCCUGGAAACUCAGCGAGUGCUGUGUCCUGAAGCUAGGAGCCACGGAGACAGGCAUUCUGACUGCACACUGCCUCUGUGCCUAGAUGAGCUGUCAUUGGGCACGAGAAGGAGAAAAGAGACUGCAAAAAACAAGAGGGAUAAAACGACAUCAUCCGGAGGGAAAAGGCACAUACUUUAGCAGUUAAUUUAAUGCUUAAAUGCCAAUAAAAAUUACCUGUAUGGUAAUCUGCGGAAUUCUGUUGCUGUGGGAGGGAGCGUCGUUCAUUUACUGCUGUUGAGCCUCAGGAUUGCAUCCCCAAAUAAAAGACCAGAUAAUUACCCACAUUUCCCAGCAUGAGGGUGGAAUAACCAGGUGGACCAAACUGUCAAAACAAUUAUCUACUGAACUGCAAUGACGAUGAUGAGAGAGAACUCCUUUGCUAACAACUGCCAAGAUGCAGAGCAUGCUCAGACUACACUCAAAGCCCUAUGUCAUGGAGAUCCUUGCUGUGGGUGCCAGGUUGUUAACAUAGAUUGCAGCCAAAGAAUUUUAUUGUGGAAGGUGUGUGUGGGUCAGUGCCUCUCCUGUACAAAGGACGCCACAUCUGGACCCAGUACUCCAGGUGAGGCCUUGCCAGCGCAGAGUAGAGGACAGGACCAUCUCCCUGGCCCUGCUCACCAUGCUUCUUUCGAAUGGCAUCCCGUCCCUCAAGUGUGUCAGCUGCAUUUUCAUGGAGGAUGUUUAGAGAGAAGAGAUUAUUUCAUCUGCGGGUGUCAUCUACGUAUGAAUGGAGCAUUUUUCUGCUGGUGAUGUUUUCAUAUUUCAAAUUCUGCCCUCUCACCUUUGGAGAACAAGAGAGUCCAUCCACAGAGAACAAAAUCCUGGAGGUGUUCUGCAGAGCAGGUAGGCACCUCAGAUUUCUCUUUCCAGCAACCUCCUUUGGAGGCCAUCAGUGGCCGGAGCUGCUCUGCUGUCACAUUUAAAGGGAGAUGCAUCCAGGCUGGACAGACUGGCUGGACUCUGAUGGAAACCAUUUCAACCCCAGCAAGAGGAUGGUUUUCGACUGGAUACAAACGCCAUGCAUAUUACAAUACAUGCCCAUGUACACCUACAGAAUAUAUCCUUUCCACUAUACGCCUAACAUACAUGGAAUAUUACCUGUGAUUGUACCCUGGAAAACAAGUGAGAAGCUUUGUAUUCAUUCUGAGGUGAUUUCUAUGUACCGAGAAAGCUUACAGAGAGCACAUAAAAAAAAGGAGAUAGCACCUGAAUAAAGAACCAGGCACCAGGACUACUCUCAAGGGAAAAGCUUUUUACCAAGCCCAGGCACAGCAUUUCCAAGUAUCAAGAGUUAACAUGCAAACUGAGUAACACUAAAGACACCAAGCUCCUGCUUUUCCUCAAGAACCUUGGCUCAGCAUGUGCCUACAACAGAAGACUCCCACACACUACACAGUUAAUCACCAGUCCAGUUCAUUAUGUCCACAUCCAAACCCAACUGCGACACUGUGAUAGAGAGGCUAACAGAUACGUGGUCUGAUUGUUAGACUGCAAUUGACAAAUCUGAUAAAGCACCGAACCUGACCUUACGCUUCUUUGUUUGCUUUUUAAUAACCUCCAUCUACCAGCAGAGACUCUAAUGCUCUGUGUAGUCAAUUGUUCCUUGCAAUUAACUGUGCUUUGUAAUAUCAAAAGAAAAUAAACCCACCUUUGGAGAGGGAGAAUAGAUUGAAACGAUGUUGGCAAAUAAAGCUAAAAUCACCUAACAAAAUGCAGUGUAUUCAAUUACAUAAAAUUAGUAAAUAUUCUCCUCCACAUAUGGGGAAAAAUGAACAUAUGAUUGAACUAAUAGGAUUAUG
ensembl:lncRNA